AGAUGCAGGUAUUAGAAUGUACACUCGCUGUCCGGAAAUUGCAUGAUAAAAUACUGCGCGUACAUUGAUUUGUAGGCUGCGUGAUGCAUGUUCUUUGUUUUUUUUUCCUUCUCCGUAGAUCGAUCGGACAAAUGAGAAAAUUUUCCAUUAAACUUCUUGGGAGCACAUGAUAAACACUCAGUCAUGGACAACAACCGACUCUUUUUUUUUUGAAAUGCGUUCAUCCUUUGAAAUGAUUUGAUCAGGAGUAAAGCCAGGUAUGUGUGAUCAGAUCUUAGUGGAGCAAUCGAUCGAUGGAGAUUAAGUCCGUGGUAAUGUAAUAGCUGUCAGCCUGUCAAUGGGGACGUGGGUCAGUGUCUUAGUGAGAGUGAGGCUUACUACUACGUGUUGGCCGUGCAC
rnacentral:lncRNA from 1 species